GAUGAACGCUGGCGGCGUGCCUAAUACAUGCAAGUCGAGCGAACAGACGAGGAGCUUGCUCCUCUGACGUUAGCGGCGGACGGGUGAGUAACACGUGGAUAACCUACCUAUAAGACUGGGAUAACUUCGGGAAACCGGAGCUAAUACCGGAUAAUAUAUUGAACCCCAUGGUUCAAUAGUGAAAGACGGUUUUGCUGUCACUUAUAGAUGGAUCCGCGCCGCAUUAGCUAGUUGGUAAGGUAACGGCUUACCAAGGCAACGAUGCGUAGCCGACCUGAGAGGGUGAUCGGCCACACUGAAACUGAGACACGGUCCAGACUCCUACGGGAGGCAGCAGUAGGGAAUCUUCCGCAAUGGGCGAAAGCCUGACGGAGCAACGCCGCGUGAGUGAUGAAGGUCUUCGGAUCGUAAAACUCUGUUAUUAGGGAAGAACAAAUGUGUAAGUAACUAUGCACGUCUUGACGGUACCUAAUCAGAAAGCCACGGCUAACUACGU
rnacentral:rRNA from 1 species